UGAAGAACCUAGUGGCCUCUGUCUGCUCUUUCGGAUCUUCCUUGUCGAACUGAUCAGCUCCCAAAGAGGUGAAGUUUUGGGGCAGAAGGACUGAUUUCUCGUGCACGCUGGGGGUUUAAACGCUUUCACGGUUGCUGUUAGUGAGGUAGAUGACGAGGAAAACUGCUGCAGUCCAGAAUCUUCCAAGGUAUGCGUCCCCCAAAAAUCCUCCAAUUAAAGAUGUCACGACUCUGGUGAGGUAGAGGAUGAGGUUCGUGCAGACUCCAAAGUAGCCAACGGCCGCAAAUCCUUGUGUUCCUAGAUCAGCAAGGUACAGCAAUAAGCAACAAAGCCUGUAGCAAAAGUUGGGCGCUCGAAUAUCAUCGCUAUCUUAUAUUCUAUAAGCACUCAGAAAGUUUAGGAGGAUUCUGGCAACUCAGCUGAGGGGAAGGAAGAAUACCAAGGAUAAGCGAGGAUGUAAACCAUCCACCGGUUUUGCAUUUCACAGCAGGCCUUCCGAACAGAUCCAGAGUUCCAUCGCCAGUAGCUUCCCGGUUCAGCUGCUUCCCCUUCUGGUUGUCCUCCUGGAAAGACAUUCAGUUCAUCUACUCGGAUCAGCAGAAACGAAAAUGGAACUCACCAUGAAGAACACUUCCGGCUGGUAACUCGCGCUGGUUCGCUUUAAAUCGACUCGGAGAGAUGCUUAGUGCAAGGAAAUUCUGAAGCUGGAACCAGACAAAGGAAGGACCACAAGGGUCAUGCUCACUCUUACAAGGAGAGCGAUCUAUCUAUGCCCCCUUGAGGGAGAAGUUUGCAAGUUUUUAUGGAGGACAGCAUUUUGAGAUGGUGGGGAACAAGUAACUGUUAAAGGAAUGGAGUGCCAGUACUACACUAAAGAGAAGGGAAAGAUGGUGGUGGUGGAAUCCCUUAAGAGGCUCCGUGGACUCCGUGAAACGUUGUGUUGAUUCCGAGGCUACAAGAACAGAAUGUGGAGGAGAGCUGCUCUCCUCUUUUGCGUGGUGAGGUGGACAGAAGUUGCAAGAAAACAUAAAAUGUGUGGUGCUUGGAGCGUGGGAAAAAGAGCUGUAACGCUCACGAGGCCUUCAAGGUUGAAGUGACGGAGAAUCUAAGUGACAAGCUGAAGUUUUCUUAAUUACGUGAUGCCUUAUCUUUGCAAGGUGGAAGAUUUCGCGUUCUUAUCUCGUGUAGCAUUUCUACAUGGUCAACAUUCCUGAAAGAAUCAUUUUAAGUAAAUUCUUAAUCAUCGGAGGUACGGGGUGGUGUUGCUCAAAACCGCUGAUUGGAGUCGCUUUAUAAGUCCAGUCCGCUUAAAACCAUAAAGGACGGAGACAUCCGCUCGUACUCUUUCUCACUAGCCGAGAGCACUAGGAAGCAGCUGAGACUGACUUUGGGAAGCCAGCGUUACGCUCCACCACUGGAUUGUGGGUUGCUGACUAAGUUUUUCUCGCUUGAUAUCUUACGAAUGCUUCACCAAAGCAAUGCCUCGGCCGCUGACUGGCUCCACACUCACUGCUUUGUCGAUGCUGGACGGAGACCAGGCACCGCCAUAGAUGAUCUCCUUCUGCGAUAUCUUUGGUCUUUGGACACCUACUUCCAACACUUUGAACUUGAGAUUUCCAAGUCGGCAUGGGGAGGCAGUCCGGCCUGAGCGCCGUGUAGCUUUUCCCAUUCUAGAUUCUCGGCUUGAGUGGUACGGAAGUUGGGCUUUCUACGUUGAAGCUCCAGGUCACGGGAUGCGCUUUUAUAGUUGUAUGUUUUAGCAGUGAAUCAAGCUGGCUGCUCUCCCAUACAAUCUCGUGUACUUAUUGGAUCAAACUAUUCCAUCAAGAAUUUAGUA